UACGUAGGGUGCGAGCGUUGUCCGGAAUUAUUGGGCGUAAAGAGCUUGUAGGCGGUUUGUCGCGUCUGCUGUGAAAUCUCAAGGCUCAACCUUGAGCUUGCAGUGGGUACGGGCAGACUAGAGUGUGGUAGGGGAGACUGGAAUUCCUGGUGUAGCGGUGAAAUGCGCAGAUAUCAGGAGGAACACCGAUGGCGAAGGCAGGUCUCUGGGCCACUACUGACGCUGAGGCGCGAAAGCUAGGGGAGCAAACAGG
rnacentral:rRNA from 1 species